rnacentral:rRNA from 1 species
UGGGGAAUAUUGGACAAUGGGCGAAAGCCUGAUCCAGCCAUGCCGCGUGAGUGAUGAAGGCCCUAGGGUUGUAAAGCUCUUUUACCUGGGAAGAUAAUGACUGUACCAGGAGAAUAAGCCCCGGCUAACUUCGUGCCAGCAGCCGCGGUAAUACGAAGGGGGCUAGCGUUGUUCGGAAUCACUGGGCGUAAAGCGCACGUAGGCGGAUCUUUAAGUCAGGGGUGAAAUCCCGGAGCUCAACUUCGGAACUGCCUUUGAUACUGGAGAUCUUGAGUCCGGAAGAGGUGAGUGGAACUGCGAGUGUAGAGGUGAAAUUCGUAGAUAUUCGCAAGAACACCAGUGGCGAAGGCGGCUCACUGGUCCGGUACUGACGCUGAGGUGCGAAAGCGUGGGGAGCAAACAGG